rnacentral:tRNA from 1 species
CGGCAUUUAGUCUAGUGGUAUAAUUCUCGCUUUGGGUGUGAGAGGUCUGAGUUCGAUUCUCGAAAUGCCCC